GACGAACGCUGGCGGCGUGCCUAAUACAUGCAAGUCGAACGAACCGCGACUAGGUGCUUGCACUUGGUCAAGGUGAGUGGCGAACGGGUGAGUAACACGUGGGUAACCUACCUCAUAGUGGGGGAUAACAGUCGGAAACGACUGCUAAUACCGCAUAGGACAUAGGAUCACAUGAUUCUGUGAGGAAAGGUGGCGCAAGCUAUCGCUACGAGAUGGACCCGCGGUGCAUUAGCUAGUUGGUAGGGUAAAGGCCUACCAAGGCGAUGAUGCAUAGCCGACCUGAGAGGGUGAUCGGCCACAUUGGGACUGAGACACGGCCCAAACUCCUACGGGAGGCAGCAGUAGGGAAUCUUACGCAAUGGACGCAAGUCUGACGGAGCAACGCCGCGUGAGUGAAGAAGGUCUUCGGAUCGUAAAGCUCUGUUGUUAGAGAAGAACAGCGCAUAGAGUAACUGUUAUGCGUGUGACGGUAGCUAAACAGAAAGCCACGGCUAACUACGUG
rnacentral:rRNA from 1 species